rnacentral:rRNA from 1 species
GACAGAGGUGCCGAGCGUUAGGCGGAAUCACUGGGCUUAAAGCGUGUGUAGGCGGGUCGUUAAGUGUCUUGUGAAAUCCCACCGCUCACCGGUGGAACGGCUGGGCAUACUGGCGACCUUGAGAGGCCUAGGGGCAGACGGAACAAGCGGUGGAGCGGUGAAAUGCGUAGAUAUCGCUUGGAACGCCGACGGCGAAAGCAGUCUGCUGGGGCCUUCUGACGCUGAGACACGAAAGCCAGGGGAGCGGAACGGGAUUAAGAAACCC